GUCCUACAUGGGGAGUAAGUGCACAGUGACUUCUGUAUAGCCAACAUUUUAAUGUUCAAAUGGAAUCAAAAUGCAUUUAGGAUUGAGAAGUAGUGGAUUGCAUUUCUAUGUAAGGCUAUUUGGGACUCAUUUCAGCUGUUUUUGUAUAAUUUUGCCCACCUGACAUGCGCAAGAAGCAAGAUGAAUUUGCUCACCUUUCAGAAGAGCCGUGAGUAAAGAAUUUUCUCCUAAAAGGCUUUUGAGUUGAAACUCACCAAGGCCAAUCCUGAUAGCUUAGAUAUAGGAUACCCCCGAGAGGUUUUGUUUUCAUGGCUUUGACAUAAUAUGGAUUACGCUAGAGCAGUAUUUCAUUAAGGAAGCACAGCAGGAGUUUCAGUCUUGAUGAGUCUUUUGAAGGAUAUGAAAUAUAUACAAGGAAUAAAGGAUACUUUCAUGGAAAAGAUGGAGUUAAAAGAUAAAUCUAAUUUGGUUGUUGGAAAAAACAUUUAAGAUCCAUGCAUUUUCCAUGAGCAUUUUUGAAGACCCAACACAUGCCUGGAUUUUAAUUUUUUUUUUUGCCAAAAUAAACUUAUUUUUAAAUUCUAAUUUCCAUGAACUUUUCAAAGUGCCCUUAUGUACUUCAUGGGGAUGCCUAGCAACAGUUUGUUUCUCUCAUUCUUUUGCCCCCAGAAAGACUCUGUCUCAGACAUGUACUUCUACCCAACCUGGGACUCUUGGGCCACCCAAUCUCUCCCCGGGGUCCUUCUCCUCCCUGGAUACCCAGCCUCCUCCUUCUCCCUUCCUACCGGUCUCUUUAUUCCUGUGGAAGCUCUCUGCUCCUCCCAGGUUCCCUGGGAGCCUCCUUUCCCUACUUCUUCUUGGCCUCUGCCAAGUCCUCCUGCCGUCUCCCCAUUCCCCAGCCUCAGGUCCCAGCAACCAACCAGAGAGUUGGAAAGAACUUCCAUCGCCUGUGCUGGAGAAGCAGAGGGGAGCACCGUCACUUCUGGCCUGCUCACAGGACAAAUGCAUCCAUGUCGCUAGACUUCUAUACGCCCUAAGUACUGGGAACUCCAUAGGAUCACUCUGACGUGUCAGUCACACCAAUAGCUUGCAUUGUUCUUCUCCUGCUGCGCUCUGAGCUUGGAGCAUCCUGCAUCUCAGAAGAGGGGUGGGAGGGGAGCCCAGUCACAUGGAGCAGCGUCAACCGAAAUUGUGCCUGAGGCAGCCUCGUGUUCCCAGUCCCGCUGGCCCUCGGGAGCUGACUGUUGUUGCCCACAGAACCUUCCCUCGGAAGCCUGUGCUACUCAUGACCCCCACCCCCUCCCUCCUCCUGUCUCUCAUCCUUAUCACGUUCUGUUGAGAACAUUUCUGGAAGUUCCGUACUCUCAGGACAUUCUAAGAAAGUUGAGAUACAAUCCACGUAUCUUAAAAUUCGUUCCUUGAAAGUAUAUAAUUCCAUAAGUUUUAGUCUAUGCCCAGAGUUGCACAACAAUCGCUAUGACCUAAUCCCAACCCCCAAAUACCUUACUCAUUAGCAGUAUGACCAUGGCAUCCUCCCCCGCCAGCCCCUGGUAACCACUAAUCUACUUUCUGUCUCUGUGGAUUUUCCUAUUCUAGACAUUUCACAUAAAUGGAAUCACACAAUAUGUGGCCUUUUGUGAGUGGACUCGUUCACUUCACAUAAUGUUCUCAAAGUGCAUCUGGGUUACAGCCGGUAUCAGUACUUCAUUCAUUUCUGCUUGGAACACUGUUCCAUUAUGUGGGCGUAUCAAUUGUACUUGUUCAUUUAUGAAAUGAGGGACUUUUGGGUUGCUUCCACUUUAUAGCUAUCAUGAAUAGUACUGCCAUGAACAUUUCUGCACAGGUUUUUGUGUGGACACAUAUUUCAGUUCUCUUAGGUAGAUAACUGGAAGUGGGGUUCUGAGGGAUCGCCAAGCUGUCUUCACCACGCAUUUCACCAGGAACGUGUGAGCCUUCAACCUCUUCUCCUCCCCACCAGCACUUGCUUAUUGUCGUCUUUUUCUCUUACGGCCGUCCUGGUGGAUGUGCAGUACCAUCCCCUCAUUUCCCUGAUGGCCAGUGAUAUUAAGCAUAUUUUCUGGUGCCUAUUACCCAUUUGUGUAUAUUCUGUGGAGAAAUGUCUGUUGAAGUCCUUGGCCAAUUCUAAAAUUGGAUUAUCUGUUUUUUUUUUUUAUUAUUGAAUGGCAAGAAUGCCUUAUUUUUCUGAAUGCUAGACCAUAACAGGAACAUGAUUUACAAAUACUUUUCUCAUUAUCUGGGUUGUCUUUGUACAUUCCUAAAAGUGACCUUCGAAAUACAAAAGUUUUCCAUUUGAUGAAGUACAACUCACCUACUUUCUUAUUGCUUGUGCAUUUGGUGUCAUAUCAAAGAAACCACUGCCUAAUUAAAGGGCACACAAUUUACACCCGUUUCAUUCUAAGAGUUUUAUAAUUUUAGCUCUUACAUUUAGGACUUUGAUCCAUUUGAAUUGAGUUUUGUGUGAGGUAAGGGUCCAACUGUAUGACAUUGUUUUUAUUUUUUAAAUGUAAGAAGUAUCCAACUGCUUUUCAUAAUGAGUGUUGGUCCAUUUUAUUUUCUUGUAAUAUGUUUGGUUUGGGAAUCAGGGUCAUUCUGACCUCAUAGCAGGAGUUUGGAAGUGUUUCCUCUUAUUUUUUAUUGGAAGAGCUUGUGCAGUCCUUGUAUCUUUCAGCUGUAUUGUGUAGCACAACUCAGCAGUCCUCAACCUCCAUUCUAAAGUGCCAGGAGACACAAAUGAGAGGAGCAGCUCUUCUGUGCUAUGUAGUCGUAUCUCGCCUGCUGACAGCGCGCGCCUUGCGGAUUGGCUGCCGUGGAAUUUACUGGGCUCCUGUUGAACACGGACUCUGUUUUCCUGGAAAAUGGAAUAAUGGAACAGCUGACCUGUCUGCUGUGAGCCGAGCUGGGUUCCAAGAACAGCACUGCAAGUCACUCUGCCUGAUUCACCUUCAGGCCUCGACCUGGAAUUUCUGUUGGUGGCAACAAAGCUGCCAUGGAAAACCACAGACUUCACCUUUGCAAAACAAAGCUCCCACUUAAAAAAAUAAAAGGCAGACAAAGUUUUAAGAAACUGUCAUUUAAGGUUCAUGGGUGAUACUUACCUUAGGGUCAGUGUCACAAAAACGUCUAUGAUAAAAUUGCCAGGGCUUUCCACGACACAGCCCACAGCCUCUGCAGAAAAUUCUCAGGUUGUCAUUUGGGGGGGUCAUUGUGAGAGAAGGAGAGGAGACGGGCACAGUGGUCUGGAUCAGUGAUGCUUCUGAACGUGGGUGGGGCCACGGUUUGGUGCAUGUGAGACCCUGAGAUCUUUGUAAGCUGAACGCAUCACUCUUGCCCUUUUCUUUAUUAUUAUUAUUAUUAUUAUUAUUUUGACAGGCAGAGUUGGACAGUGAGAGAGAGAGAGGCAGAGAGAAAGGUCUUUCUUUAUCCGUUGGUUCACCCCCCAAGUGGCUGCUACGGCUGGUGUGUUGCAGCCGACGUGCUGCACUGAUCUGAAGCCAGGAGCCAGGUGCCCCCUCCUGCAUGCGGGUGCAGGGCCCAAGCACCUGGGCCAUCCUCCACUGCACUCCCGGGCCACAGCAGAGAGCUGGACUGCAAGAGGAGCAACUGGGACAGAAUCCGGCGUCCAAACCUGGACUAGAGCCUGGGGUGCCGGCGCCGCAGGUGGAGGAUUAGCCUAGUGAGCCGUGGCGCUGGCCUCUUGCCCUUUUCUUUACUCCUUCCUUACAGGAAAUGCCAAGACACCACAUUCGCUGGUACUUCUUGAAAUCCCAUUGCUAUUUCCCAUCUGCAGAGCCUUGCGGGGGGGUCCUCUAGAAUAGUGUCCCUAGGAGUGCUCAUUUAAUCAUUCUCCUGCAAAUAUUCCCCAGAGCACUUUGCUCUUUCUUUCUAUGGGGCAGAGACACAGGGGCUUUAGGUCAGAAAUUAAAUGCAAAACCACGUAUGGCCCCUGGGCUGCGGUCUUCUUACAAGUAAAUUGUUUUCUUCCCUUCAGAAGUCACUGCUAACAGACAACCUCCUGUUGCUGUUGGUGACGCAGGGCUGGGGAGAGACUGGGCAGGAAUGUGCCGGGGGUCCUAAUACCUACAUUUCUGUCUUAUUGGUCCCCAGUGUCCAAGGACUGGGCAGACACAGCAUGCAGGCUGAUUUUUGGCACAGAAAAUGAAAGGAAGCCAGGCAGGACAGGCAAUACAAACCCAUGGGAAGUGUCUUCUUAAGUUGGAUGAAUGCCAGCAGCAUGAGCCAAGGUGACUUCAGCGAGGGUUCCUGGGCACUGGCUCUGGCUCUCCAGACCUGCUCUACCCCAGCACCUUCCCAACCAGUCCUGCCCUCCCCCGUGUCAGUGCGCCUGGGUUUGGUGAGGAUGACGAUGUAUUCGGUCUGAGGGUUACCUUUGUGGCUGGAAGCUCAUAGGUUUCCUAGAAGCUUCUGGAAUCUGUAGCCCCUCAGCUGAGGGACAUACACAUAGUGUCAUUGUGACACCCGAAAUCUUAACUCGUAAUCCCGUGACUGUCACAGAGUGUAGUUCCAAUCCCUGGAAAACUGCACCCUGCAGGAACCUCCCUGGAUAGCUUACUCUGGGGGAGCUGACCAGCCUCGGGUGUGGCCCCAGGCAGGCAGGGACAGAAAGAGGAUGGGGGUCAACAUGUUAAGAGAGGGGGUCCCUUUCUCUCUGGCACAGACAACAGAAUAACUUUAUGCAGAAGACUCAAAUGAAAGCUAGAACUCCAAUCUGUCGAUUUUCUACAAGAGAUGGAACCGCAGAGAGGCUAAAUUCUCAAGAACGCCAGGCAGGUAACCCGGGUGGGGGAUGGAGGAAGUGUCGUGGGCAUGGACUCAGCUGGGGUGUUAGCAAGGACGCUACUCAGAGUCCCGUGCGCGCUCCGUGGAGGUGGAGUGGUGCUCCUCCCACCCCCAGAGGUAUGACUGUCUGAAAGCUGUGAACGCUACCUUUUUGGAGAAAGUGUUCCUGUGGAUAUAACUAAGACUCCGGGGAUGGAAUCAUCUGGGGUUGGGCUGUGUCCUGAAUCCAGUGACAACUGACAAAGUGUCCUCAUUAGGAAGAAAGGAUGGCUGUGUGAAGACAGUGGCCGGGGCUGGUGUCACGGAGGGAGCCGAGGUUCGCACUCGGCCACCAGAGCCAGGGAGAGGCAUAGACUCGUUCUGUUCUACUUCAGAGCCCCUACAAGGAACCCACCCCACUGCUUCUCAGCCUUUUGGCUGAGAUCGCGUGUAGGAACCCACCUUGCCCACACCUUGAAAUGAGCUUUCUGGCCUUCAGAACCAUGAAAAAAAAUAUAUAUAUAUAUAUAUUUAGACAGUGAGAGAGAGAGAAAGAGAGAAAGGUCUUCCUUUUUCCAUUGGUUCACCCCCCAAGUGGCUGCUAUAGCCGGUGUGCUGCGGCCAGCGCACUGCGCCAAUCCGAAGCCAGGAGCCGGGUACUUCCUCCUGGUUUCCCAUGCAGGUGCAGGGCCCAAGGACCUGGCCAUCCUCCACUGCACUCCCUGGCCACAGCAGAGAGCUGGCCUGGAAGAGGAGCAACCGGGACAGAAUCUGGCACUCCAACUGGGACUAGCACCCGGUGUGCCGGCGCCGCAGGUAGAGGAUUAGCCUAGUGAGCCGCAGUGCCGGCGAAAGAAUAUAUUUUAAGCUGCCCAAUUGAUGGUGAUUUGUUAUGGAGUAUGUUAUAGGAAGCCAGUGCACUCUCCACUUCCUCAGAGAUGGCCUGAGGUCAGGCCCCUCCUCCCCUUCACGGUGCUGACAUGGGCCUGGCCAACAUUUGCCCUCAGCCCUGAUGGGUUUGGAGUUUAACUCUGAGUGACCACCUUAUGCCGCAAGCAUUCUUGAGGGUAGUAAUAAAGGUGGAGGAGACUUCUGCAGAAAGUGUGUUCCACAAGGCUGAAAAUCCCAAAAGGUUCCUUUCAUUUCUUUGCAUGAACUCACCAGCUCCGAGUGGUUCCACGACUUUGUUUCUUCUCCUGGGGCUUUGGGUGUGAACUGCGCGGUAGGUGCACCGUCUGCUUCAUCAGUGGCCAGGCUGUGAAGAGGCGCUGGUUCAGGUGUCUUUCCUAAUUUAAAGGAGAGUUUAUCUGGGAAACAAGUUUCAUGGAAGACAGAAUGCUUGUGCUGCCUCUGGGGGAAUACCCAAGACUGCGUAAUUUGUAAAGGAAAGAAGCGCGUGGUCCUCCUGGAAGCUGAAGUCCGUGAUUGGUUGCAUCUGGGGAGGGCCUCAUGCUGACAGAGGAGCGGGAAGGCAAGUGGAUGUGCACAAGAGAAACAACACGAGAGGCACCCUCACCUUAUAACAACUUGCCUCGCUCCUGCAGUAACGCACCCAGUACUGCAAGAGCGAGGGCUCACUCACACCUGCGAGAACCAGCCCAGUUCCAGGUCAGCAGCGUGGACCCCUUCACGAGGGCUUCUCUGACCCAAACACUUCUCACAGCCCUCGCUGUCUCCCACCACGGUCACGCUGGGAACCAAGCCGGCCGAACCACGGUGCAGACUGUGGGAAUGAGAAGCCAGAAUCAAGGUGGAACAUGAUCUUGAGUUGUGAGGCUUUAGGACUCCGUGUUGCAGUUCACAUCACGUUUCCCGUUCCCCCAUUUCCAAGCGGCGCUGAAGCACACAUGACUUACAAGUAGCAAGGUGUGUGUGAAAGUGGUAACCCUGUUAGGAGCAGGUCAUCAGCGCUGAGGUUCCAUUGCCCCGGGUAAACUGUUCCAUGAGGCAGCUUCGAGUUGGAACGAGAGGAAUGACAGUGAACCAUGGGCUACACCACACGGGGCUUGACUCUCCAUCUUUUUUUUUUUUUAAGAUUUUUUUUUUUAUUUGCAAGGCGGAGUUACAGAGAGGGAGAGACAAGGAGAGACAGAGAGGUCUUCCAUCUGCUGGUUCACUCCCCAAAUGGCCACAAUGGCUAAGGCUGGGCCAGGCCAAAGCCAGGAGCUCGGAACUCUGUCCUGGUCUCCUUUGUGGAUGGCAGGGACCCAAGCACUUGAAUCAUUAUCCACAGCUUUCCCAGGCUCAUUAGGGAGCUGGGUCAGAAGUGGAGCAGCUGAGACUGGAACUGGCACUGAUAUGGGAUGCUGGUGUCACAGGUGACAGGCUUAACCCAUCUGGCAUUCUGCCCCCAACUCUUCCAUCUUUACCAAGAUCCAUAAUCCAGGUAUGUUUUGAUUAAAGCCAAAAUAAUAAUUAUAUACAAUUAAGCUAAGGUUAGCUACCAGGUGUUUCUGGAGGGGGAGUUAUGUUUCCAUAACAUGCAUUCAACCCCAAAAUAGAAAAAGUGAUCAGGGGCCGGUAUUGUGGCGUAGCGAGUUAAACUUCCACCUGCGAAGCCAGCAUCACGUGUGAGAGCUGGUUUGAGUCAACUUCCCCUCCAGCUCCCUGAUAAUGCACCUGGGAAUGCAGCAGAAGGUGGUCCAAGUCUGGGCCUCUACUACCCAUGUGGGAGACCUGGAUGGAGUUCCAGGCUCCUGACUGCAGGCUGGCCCAGCCCUGGCCAUUGUGGGAGUGAAUCAGCAGAUGGAAGACCUCUCUCUCUCUCUCUCUCGUUCUUUCUGUAACUCUGUCUUUCAAAUUAAGAAAAUAAAUCUUUAAAAAAGAAAAAUGAUCAACAAGUGGUAUAUUAGUCAGUUUUUCAUCGUAGCAAAAUGUCUAACCCAGUGGACUUACGAAGGGAAGGCGUUUUACUUUGGCUCAUGGUUUUUGAGGUUCACGAUUCAGCAACAGGGGACUCCCACUGGCUGGCCCUCUGGUGAGGCUGGAGGGUGGCCAUGGGCAAGUGUGUGCUGAGAAACAACCGCAUGGUGAACCAGGAACCCAAGAGAGUGGCUGGAUCUGAGUCGCCUGUUGUAACCAACCCAAAGCCAGCCCUCGCAGGGAACUACCUUGAUCUCGCACACAGGGACCUCCUGCUAGGCCACCUCCUAGACCCCAUAAUUGGGUUACAUUUCCACCCUCUCAGCACCACUGGCACAAGACUUUGAGGCUUAAACUUUAAAUAUCUGCCUGAGUCCAGGAGCCACAGCCGAUUCAAACCCUAGGGAGUGAGCAGGAUGUGACCCCGCUCUUCCAAGCAUCUUGUCUUAUGGUGUAUGCACCCAUCCUGGCAUCUUGUGUUCCUGGUGUGGUGUCUGGCAUGCCACAGGUGCUCACUCGAUUAAAGAAAGAAUGGAAAAAGGAAAUAAAAAAAUACCAAGCCAGGAUUUCUUCACCACCUGCUGGUGUACAGUUUUUCUCUCUGUCUGAGAUCACACAAACUGGAGUUAGUCAAACAGAAUCUUACUGGUCAAACAUUUGCUUUUCCAGAUACAGGGGACUUCUAGCCCAUAUUCUGUCUGGGUGAGCCUGCUCACGCCUUUCUUGUUCUUGGUUCUUUGCAAACACGGGCUGAGCCCUGAGCUUCAGCCCCUCCUUGUUCUUUUCUCUUCUGUUCGCUGGGGUUGAGGGGUAAAUGCUGAAUAAACAGAAAUUCCUCUGAGUCCAGGGCUCUUUUGUUUGUUUGUUUAAAGAUUUUAUUUAUUUUAUUGGAGAGGUAGAGUUACAGACAGUCAGAGGGAGAGACAGAGAGAAAGGUCUUCCUUCAGCUGGUUCACUCCCCAAAUGGCUGCAAUAGCAGGAGCUGUGCCGAUCUGAAGCCAGGAGCCAGGAGCCAGGAGCUUCUUUCUGGUCUCCCACGUGGGUGCAGGGUCCCAAGGACUUGGGCCAUUUUCUACUGCUUUCCCAGGCCACAGCAGAGAGCUGGACUGGAAGAGGAGCAGCCGGGACUAGAACCGGCGCCCAUAUGGGAUGUCAUCGCUACAGGCGGAGGAUUAACCCACUGCGCCAUGGCGCCGGCCCCUCCCCGGGCUCUUUACAAAGGUAAUCACAACCUGCAGCUACUCAUAGUCUACAGGUGCUUGGACCUCUCUGGCUUGAUUGCUGUGUAACCUGUCAUUCUAGACACCCAGAGACAGCACAGCGGGGAUGUCCUUCUAGUGUCACAUGAAGCAGAAUCGGUUACUCGAAAGUGUCCUUGCCCAAAUAGAAACACCCCAUGCGUUUCUUUGCAUUUUGUUUCCAGGUGUGUAUCUUCAGCUCCUGUGGGUUGGUGAUAGAAUCUCACCUAAUGGGAAAGAGGCCUCUCAUACAAAAGUAGUCAGGUGCUCCUAUGUUCAUGAAGUCUGUGUUAUUAAUAAGUGAGAGGGUAAAACAGAGCACUUUCCUCUGAUUUAAAAAGAAGUAAUCGGGCCGGUGCAGUGCUGCAGUAGUUAAUCCUCUGCCUGCGGCGCUGGCAUCCCAUAUCGGCAUUGGUUCUAGACCCGGCUGCUCCACUUCUGAUCCAGCUCCCUGCUGUGGCCUGGGAAAGCAGUAGAAGAUGGCCCAAGUCCUUGGGCCCUGCAUCCACAUGGGAGAUUGGGAAGAAGCACCUGGCUCCUGUCUUCAGAUCGGCGCAGCUCCAGCUGUUGUAGCCAUUUGUGGAGUGAACCAAUGGGUGGAAGACCUUUCUCUCUGUCUCUCCCUCUCACUGUCUGUAACUCUACCUCUCAAAUAAAUAAAUAAACUCUUAAAAAAUAAAAAAGUAAUACAAGCUUAUUUUAAUAAAUUUGGAAAAUACAGAAAGGUGCUGGAAUUAUCUGGGACCCAUUAUUCAACUCUUAUUAUUGUUAUUUGAUGUAUUUCCUUUCUACUUUUUUUUCUGCAUGUACACAAUAUUUGUGUGUGAUAAUAUAUACAUUAUAUGAUUUAUGAAGGUAUAGAAAAAGUUUGCAGAGAAGAGAAUUAAGAGGUAAGUUUAUAGUGGUGCCAAAAAGUUUGAAAUCCAUUGGUCAACUUAAGAUGAUUUGAUCCUUGGUGUGGCUACAUAUUUGAUGACUCCAACAGAACAUCACAUAAAGGAUAUUUUCUGUUUAUUGAAGAGGGACAUAGGUGUGUUUCAUCUAUAGAGCGAGUGCUAUUUGAAAUUUUAAUUAUUUGAGAGGCAGAUAGAGCGCUCCCAUACGCUGGUGCGUUCAUUCCCCAGAUGUCUACAAUACCCUGGGCUGGACUGGGCUGAAGUCAGGAGCUGAGAACUCGAGUCAGGUCGCCCAUGUGAGCGGCAGGCAUCUAACUACUCGAGUCAUCACGUCUGCAUCUCAGCAUCAGGAUCGAUCUGAUUUAUGAUGAGAGCAAUAUUUGGUGCUGCCUCUUCUCUUUCUUAGUUAUCUAACACACAUCUUAUUUUCCCUCCUGAAAGGCCAAAAUUGUAGAAGUGAUUAAACCUCAGUAGGAGGGUUUAGCUCAAGCUGGUGUUGAAUGCAAAUGCAGUGCCUGAUAGAUGAGGUCCCAGCCUGAGGCAGUAGGGUUCAGAAUUCCAAUGCAUAUUCUUUGCAGAAGGCAAUCAACCCAUAAGGGCUUCAUUGCUUACUGAGCCUCUCCUUGUGAGCUCAGGAAAUUAUGGUUCUUUACAGCAUAUAUCUCUGCAGUAAAAUACGAAUCAUUCUUCCUUUCUUUUUUUUUAAAUUUUUUUUGACAGGUAGAGUUAGACAGUGAGAGAGAGAGAGACAGAGAGAAAGGUCUCCUUUCCAUUGGUUCGUUCCCCAAAUGGUCGCCACUGCCGGCGCUGCGCCAAUCCGAAGCCAGGAGCCAGGUGCUUCUUCCUGGUCUCCCAUGUGGGUGCAGGGCCCAACCACCUGGGCCAUCCUCCACUGCACUCCUGGGCCACAGCAGAGAGCUGGACUGGAAGAGGAGCAACCGGGACAGAAUCUGGCGCCCCGACCAGGACUAGAACCCGGGGUGCCAGCGCCGCAGGCGGAGGAUUAGCCUAGUGAGUUGCGGCGUCGGCUUAUUCUUCCUUUCUAAGAAUGAACGCAGGAGGCCCUUUGAAGCACUUCCACUUUGAAGGAAUAAUUUGGCAUUGCUUCAGGUCCUGUGCUGUUGGAGUGAUCUUCUCUCCAUGUUUACCUGUGUCAUUGCAAAAGGGAAAACUAAGAGAAGCUGUUAUUUUAAGUAAUAGGAGACAGUGCAGGAUACAUCUGGGUUGAAUCUAGAGUUAUCUGGCUGUGGGCUCUCCGCUGGAUCGGUGCACUGGUGUGUCACGGUGGCAGUAGCCGUGCUGUGUGAGCUUCCGUGUGCAGACAUUACCUGCGGAGCAUCUAACUCGGCUACCAGAGCUUUGGGCCUGCGUGUGCUCUAAUAAUUCCAUUUAUGGUUCAGCCAAUGCAGAAAAAGGCAGCAGCAGCCUUAGCAGUCUGAGACCGGGAAAUUUAUGAAGAGGUUUAUUUUCUCAGGGUUCUGGAGGCUGGCACGUGCCAGGUCAUGGCGCCUGCAGGUUCAGCUGUGGAACGGGGACCACAUUCCCCAGAGGGGAUGUGUGUGCCCAUGUGUCUGAUGCAAGCAGGAGUGUAUGUGUGUGUGCACGUGAGCCCGUGCUUGUGUGCAUGUGAGUAGGUCUUCCCCAGCCUCAUCUCCAUGGCCCGUCCCGUGGGGCGCCCUGUGCAGGCUCAGCCAGGCCUAGAGCUGGUGUUCAGAUACCUGUUGAGGAGCGGCGGGCAGGUGGGUGUUUCAAAACGGGGACAGCAUGAAGGGGUGGAGAAAGUGGGCUCAGCCGAGACGGGCCAGAGUCUGUGUGUUGUGCGGCGUGAGGCCAGGGGAGGCGACAGCGCAGGCUGACAGGAAGGGCCGCAGGGGUGUGCAGCUGGAAGCGUCACAAGGAGAAGGCAGCUCAGCAGGAUGCCCUGCCUGGAGCUGCCCGGGCUGGGGAGGCUGCAGGCAGCAGAACCCGGGCAAUCUGGGAAGGAGAUGGGGGAGAAGACAAAGGCAGCGAUGCACGGUGAGAGGUAAAUCUCUUUAAACGAAAAUGUUCUGUAAUUAUCCCUUUGGUUUAGGAGAGAGAACAUUAUGAAGUUGCAAAAAGCAAAGAGACAGUGAUGGGCAGGUGGCUCAGCACAGGGGCCAGACCUUGUUUCCAGGGGCUGGUUUAAGUCCUGGUUACUCUGCUUCGGAUCCAAGUUCCUCCCAGUGGGAGGCAGCAGUGAUGGCUCAAGUACCCGGGCCCCUGCCACCCCCGUGGGAGACCUGGAUGGAGCUCCUGGCUCCUGGCUUCAGCCUGGCCCAGCCCUGGGUGUUGGAGGUAUUUGGGGAGUGAACCAGCUGAGCGGAGAUUCUUCUCUCUGUUCCUCCCUGCCCCCGAAUCUCUGCCUGUCAAAUGAAGUGAAAAUAAAUCUAAAAAUAAAGAAAUCAAACAGCUUGUUGUAAGUAUUGCACAUUUCGAAUGAAUGACAGAAUAUUCUUUUAUUUCUAGAGCUUUGGAAAGUUAUAAUAGGAAAGCAAAUGAUUUAGUCUUUCUUUGGGGGAUGAUCUGUUUGGAAA